GAGGAUGUAGCUCAGUUUGUAGAGUUUGUUUACAGUGCACAAAGCCCUGGGUUCAAAUCCCAGCACUCA
rnacentral:tRNA from 1 species